rnacentral:rRNA from 1 species
GAUGAACGCUGGCGGCGUGCCUAAUACAUGCAAGUCGAGCGGAAGGACGAGAAGCCUUGCUCUCUGAUGUUAGCGGCGGACAGGGGAGUAAAACGUGGAUAAACCACCCAUAAGACUGGGGUAAACUCGGGGAAACGUAGCUUAAAACCGAAAAUAAUUUUAACCGCAUGGUUCAAAAGUGCAAGACCGUCUUGCUGUUAAUUAUAGAUGGAUCCGCGCUGCAUUAGCUAGUUGGUAAGGUAACGGCUUACAAAGGCAACGAUGCAUAGCCGACCUGAGAGGGUGAUCGGCCACACUGGAACUGAGACACGGUCCAGACUCCUACGGGAGGCAGCAGUAGGGAAUCUUCCGCAAUGGGCGAAAGCCUGACGGAGCAACGCCGCGUGAGUGAUGAAGGUCUUCGGAUCGUAAAACUCUGUUAUUAGGGAAGAACAUAUGUGUAAGUAACUGUGCACAUCUUGACGGUACCUAAUCAGAAAGCCACGGCUAACUACGUG